rnacentral:rRNA from 1 species
GAGGUGUGGCUCGCACCUGUCCAACUAAACCUGAGCUACCUUUUUUAUAUAACACGGUUGCAUCGGUCGGUCUGUCGAAACCAGUAGCGCUCAUAGCGAGCAGCGUCUGGGGAAAGACGGGUCGGCGCUUCUUACCAACACUUUUGAACACUAGGAUUGGAAGGACAAAAAUCAUUUUUUUGAUGAUGGAAGCGACUGGUAAUGCGGUCGUCUAAAUUGAAAAAACAACUUUUGGCAACGGAUCUCUUGGUUCUCCCAUCGAUGAAGAACGCAGCGAAUUGCGAUAAGUAAUGUGAAUUGCAGAAGUGAAUCAUCGAAUCUUUGAACGCACCUUGCGCUCCCGGCAGAUUUAAUCUGGGGAGCAUGCCUGUUUGAGGGCCGCGAAUUGUUUCGAACGACAGCUUUUUUUUCUUGUUGAGAAAGAGCUGGCGGAUCGGUAGUGAGGGUCUCUGCCAUUUACCGUGGCUCCCUCGAAAUGCAUUAGCGCAUCCAUUGGAAGGCGGAAAGACGGACGAAAGCUCGAGUUUUUUUGCCCUCGCUUCCCUGCCGGGUUUUGAUAAUGUCAGGACUUCGGAGGCGAAGAGAGGGCGGGAGCUGGACGCAACGACUUUUCUGCUGUUUGGCGUGCUUCUGAACCCCGCCCAUGCUUCUGCUUUAACCACAGAGGAAGGGAUUUAUUUUUCAAUUCAUCGGCCUCAGAUUGGUAGGACUACCCGCUGAACUUAAGCAUAUCAAUAAGCGGAGGAAAAGAAACUAACAAGGAUUCCCCUAGUAACGGCGAGUGAAGAGGGAAGAGCCCAAGAUUGAAAGCUGGCGUCUUCGGCGUCCGCAUUGUAAUCUCAAGAAGUGUUUUCCGCUUCGGACCAUGCCUAAGUCCCUUGGAAAAGGGCAUCAUAGAGGGUGAUAAUCCCGUACAUGGCAUGGAGCGCCCGUAGCUUUGUGAUACGCUUUCUAAGAGUCGAGUUGUUUGGGAAUGCAGCUCAAAAUGGGUGGUAAAUGCCAUCUAAGGCUAAAUAUUGGGGAGAGACCGAUAGCGAACAAGUACAGUGAUGGAAAGAUGAAAAGAACUUUGAAAAGAGAGUUAAACAGUACGUGAAAUUGCCAAAAGGGAAGGGUAGGAGGUCAGAGAUGCGUCUUGGGAUUCAGCCUUGCUUUUGCCUGGUGUUUUUCCCAAGCUGCAGGCCAACGUCGGUUUUGGGCACUGGAGAAGGGUAGGAGGAACGUGGCACCUCUCGGGGUGUGUUAUAGCCUCCUACUGGAUACAGCGACCGAGACCGAGGAACGCAGCGUACUCGUAAGAGCGGGCCUUUUGGCACC